rnacentral:rRNA from 1 species
GCUCCAGUAGCGUAUAUUAAAGUUGUUGCAGUUAAAAAGCUCGUAGUUGGAUUUCUGGUUGAAUGCGCCUGGCCGCGGCGGUUACGUCAGUGAGUGCCGGUGUGCGUUUGCCAUCCUGCUAGAGAACGUUUCUACCUUCACUGGGCCGGACUCGCGAUCUAGCUCGUUUACUUUGAAAAAAUUAGAGUGUUUAAAGCAGG